rnacentral:rRNA from 1 species
AGUGAACGCUGGCGGUAGGCCUAACACAUGCAAGUUGAACGGCAGCACAGUAAGAGCUUGCUCUUACGGGUGGCGAGUGGCGGACGGGUGAGGAAUACAUCGGAAUCUACUUUUUCGUGGGGGAUAACGUAGGGAAACUUACGCUAAUACCGCAUACUACCUACGGGUGAAAGCAGGGGAUCUUCGGACCUUGCGCGAUUGAAUGAGCCGAUGUCGGAUUAGCUAGUUGGCGGGGUAAAGGCCCACCAAGGCGACGAUCCGUAGCUGGUCUGAGAGGAUGAUCAGCCACACUGGAACUGAGACACGGUCCAGACUCCUACGGGAGGCACCAGUGGGGAAUAUUGGACAAUGGGCGCAAGCCUGAUCCAGCCAUACCGCGUGGGUGAAGAAGGCCUUCGGGUUGUAAAGCCCUUUUGUUGGGAAAGAAAAGCAGCAGGUUAAUACCCCGCUGUUCUGACGGUACCCAAAGAAUAAGCACCGGCUAACUUCGUG